rnacentral:rRNA from 2 species
GAUGAACGCUGGCGGCGUGCCUAAUACAUGCAAGUCGAACGAGUUCUCGUUGAUGAUCGGUGCUUGCACCGAGAUUCAACAUGGAACGAGUGGCGGACGGGUGAGUAACACGUGGGUAACCUGCCCUUAAGUGGGGGAUAACAUUUGGAAACAGAUGCUAAUACCGCAUAGAUCCAAGAACCGCAUGGUUCUUGGCUGAAAGAUGGCGUAAGCUAUCGCUUUUGGAUGGACCCGCGGCGUAUUAGCUAGUUGGUGAGGUAAUGGCUCACCAAGGCGAUGAUACGUAGCCGAACUGAGAGGUUGAUCGGCCACAUUGGGACUGAGACACGGCCCAAACUCCUACGGGAGGCAGCAGUAGGGAAUCUUCCACAAUGGACGCAAGUCUGAUGGAGCAACGCCGCGUGAGUGAAGAAGGCUUUCGGGUCGUAAAACUCUGUUGUUGGAGAAGAAUGGUCGGCAGAGUAACUGUUGUCGGCGUGACGGUAUCCAACCAGAAAGCCACGGCUAACUACGUGCCAGCAGCCGCGGUAAUACGUAGGUGGCAAGCGUUAUCCGGAUUUAUUGGGCGUAAAGCGAGCGCAGGCGGUUUUUUAAGCCUGAUGUGAAAGCCCUCGGCUUAACCGAGGAAGCGCAUCGGAAACUGGGAAACUUGAGUGCAGAAGAGGACAGUGGAACUCCAUGUGUAGCGGUGAAAUGCGUAGAUAUAUGGAAGAACACCAGUGGCGAAGGCGGCUGUCUGGUCUGUAACUGACGCUGAGGCUCGAAAGCAUGGGUAGCGAACAGGAUUAGAUACCCUGGUAGUCCAUGCCGUAAACGAUGAAUGCUAGGUGUUGGAGGGUUUCCGCCCUUCAGUGCCGCAGCUAACGCAUUAAGCAUUCCGCCUGGGGAGUACGACCGCAAGGUUGAAACUCAAAGGAAUUGACGGGGGCCCGCACAAGCGGUGGAGCAUGUGGUUUAAUUCGAAGCAACGCGAAGAACCUUACCAGGUCUUGACAUCUUUUGAUCACCUGAGAGAUCAGGUUUCCCCUUCGGGGGCAAAAUGACAGGUGGUGCAUGGUUGUCGUCAGCUCGUGUCGUGAGAUGUUGGGUUAAGUCCCGCAACGAGCGCAACCCUUAUGACUAGUUGCCAGCAUUUAGUUGGGCACUCUAGUAAGACUGCCGGUGACAAACCGGAGGAAGGUGGGGAUGACGUCAAAUCAUCAUGCCCCUUAUGACCUGGGCUACACACGUGCUACAAUGGAUGGUACAACGAGUUGCGAGACCGCGAGGUCAAGCUAAUCUCUUAAAGCCAUUCUCAGUUCGGACUGUAGGCUGCAACUCGCCUACACGAAGUCGGAAUCGCUAGUAAUCGCGGAUCAGCACGCCGCGGUGAAUACGUUCCCGGGCCUUGUACACACCGCCCGUCACACCAUGAGAGUUUGUAACACCCGAAGCCGGUGGCGUAACCCUUUUAGGGAGCGAGCCGUCUAAGGUGGGACAAAUGAUUAGGGUG